rnacentral:rRNA from 1 species
AAUAGAUACCCAGGUAGUCCACGCCGUAAACGAUGAGUGCUAAGUGUUAGAGGGUUUCCGCCCUUUAGUGCUGCAGCUAACGCAUUAAGCACUCCGCCUGGGAAGUACGGUCGCAAGACUGAAACUCAAAGGAAUUGACGGGGGCCCGCACAAGCGGUGGAGCAUGUGGUUUAAUUCGAAGCAACGCGAAGAACCUUACCAGGUCUUGACAUCCUCUGACAACUCUAGAGAUAGAGCGUUCCCCUUCGGGGGACAGAGUGACAGGUGGUGCAUGGUUGUCGUCAGCUCGUGUCGUGAGAUGUUGGGUUAAGUCCCGCAACGAGCGCAACCCUUGAUCUUAGUUGCCAGCAUUUAGUUGGGCACUCUAAGGUGACUGCCGGUGACAAACCGGAGGAAGGUGGGGAUGACGUCAAAUCAUCAUGCCCCUUAUGACCUGGGCUACACACGUGCUACAAUGGAUGGUACAAAGGGCUGCAAGACCGCAAGGUCAAGCCAAUCCCAUAAAACCAUUCUCAGUUCGGAUUGUAGG